UGGAGCAUGUGGUUUAAUUCGACGCAACGCGCAGAACCUUACCAGCCCUUGACAUGGGGGUCGCGGAGACCAGAGAUGGACUCCAUCAGUUCGGCUGGACCCCACACAGGUGCUGCAUGGCUGUCGUCAGCUCGUGUCGUGAGAUGUUGGGUUAAGUCCCGCAACGAGCGCAACCCUCGUCUUCAGUUGCCAGCGGUUCGGCCGGGCACUCUGAAGAAACUGCCGGUGACAAGCCGGAGGAAGGUGGGGAUGACGUCAAGUCCUCAUGGCCCUUACGGGCUGGGCUACACACGUGCUACAAUGGCGGUGACAAUGGGAUGCAAUGGGGCGACCCUGAGCUAAUCUCAAAAAGCCGUCUCAGUUCGGAUUGUACUCUGCAACUCGAGUGCAUGAAGGUGGAAUCGCUAGUAAUCGCGGAUCAGAACGCCGCGGUGAAUACGUUCCCGGGCCUU
rnacentral:rRNA from 1 species